GGUCGGCUGGUGUAGUGGUUAACACAUCUGUCUUACAUUAUGUCUUGAUUGCUAAGGCCAGAUAUUAGCGAAGAGCGUGUUCUAUCUGGCCCAGCGUUCUAAGCGUGUGUGAUCACAGAAGGUCGCAGGUUCAAUCCCUGCGCCGACCA